rnacentral:rRNA from 1 species
GAUGAACGCUGGCGGCGUGCCUAAUACAUGCAAGUCGAGCGAACAGAUGAGGAGCUUGCUCCUCUGACGUUAGCGGCGGACGGGUGAGUAACACGUGGAUAACCUACCUAUAAGACUGGGAUAACUUCGGGAAACCGGAGCUAAUACCAGAGAAUAUAUUGAACCGCAUGGUUCAAUAGUGAAAGACGGUUUUGCUGUCACUUAUAGAUGGAUCCGUGCCGCAUUAGCUAGUUGGUAAGGUAACGGCUUACCAAGGCAACGAUGCGUAGCCGACCUGAGAGGAUGAUCGGCCACACUGGAACUGAGACACGGUCCAGACUCCUACGGGAGGCAGCAGUAGGGAAUCUUCCGCAAUGGGCGAAAGCCUGACGGAGCAACGCCGCGUGAGUGAUGAAGGUCUUCGGAUCGUAAAACUCUGUUAUUAGGGAAGAAAAAAUGUGUAAGUAACUAUGCACGUCUUGACGGUACCUAAUCAGAAAGCAACGGCUAACUACGUG